rnacentral:rRNA from 1 species
UACGUAGGGUGCAAGCGUUAAUCGGAAUUACUGGGCGUAAAGCGUGCGUAGGCGGUUCGUUAAGUCUGUUGUGAAAGCCCCCGGGCUCAACCUGGGAAUGGCAAUGGAUACUGGCGAGCUAGAGUGUGUCAGAGGAUGGUGGAAUUCCCGGUGUAGCGGUGAAAUGCGUAGAGAUCGGGAGGAACAUCAGUGGCGAAGGCGGCCAUCUGGGGACAACACUGACGCUGAGGCACGAAAGCGUGGGGAGCAAACAGG